UGCGUAGGUGGUCGGGUAAGUCUGAUGUGAAAUCUCGGAGCUCAACUCCGAAACUGCAUUGGAUACUAUUCGGCUGGAGGGUUGGGAGGGGGGACUGGAAUUCUCGGUGUAGCAGUGAAAUGCGUAGAUAUCGAGAGGAACACCAGUGGCGAAGGCGAGUCCCUGGACAACUCCUGACACUAAGGCACGAAAGCUGGGAGCAAACA
rnacentral:rRNA from 1 species